rnacentral:rRNA from 1 species
CGGACGGGUGAGUAACGCGUGAGUAAUUUACCUUUGGGUGGGGAACAACAGCCGGAAACGGCUGCUAAUACCGCAUAAUGCAGCGGCUCGACAUCGAGACAGUUGUUAAAGCGGGGGAUCGCAAGACCUCGCGCCUAAAGAGAAGCCCGCGGCAGAUUAGCUAGUUGGUAGGGUAAUGGCCUACCAAGGCAACGAUCUGUAACCGGCCUGAGAGGGCGGUCGGUCACACUGACACUGACAUACGGGUCAGACUCCUACGGGAGGCAGCAGUCGGGAAUUUUGGGCAAUGGGCGAAAGCCUGACCCAGCAACGCCGCGUGAAGGAUGAAGCUUUUCGGAGUGUAAACUUCACAAGAAUGGGAAGAAUAAGUUUAGGAUAAUACCCUGAACGAUGACGGUACCAUUUGUAAGCUCCGGCUAACUCCGUGCCAGCAGCCGCGGUAAUACGGGGGGAGCAAGCGUUGUUCGGAUUUACUGGGCGUGAAGGGCGCGUAGGCGGCGCGACAAGUCACUUGUGAAAUCUCUGAGCUCAACUCAGAACGGUCAAGUGAUACUGUCGUGCUAGAGUGCGGAAGGGGCAACUGGAAUUCUUGGUGUAGCGGUGAAAUGCGUAGAUAUCAAGAGGAACACCUGCGGCGAAGGCGGGUUGCUGGGCCGACACUGACGCUGAGGCGCGAAAGCUAGGGGAGCGAAAGGGAUUAGAUACCCCUGUAGUC